rnacentral:lncRNA from 1 species
UCACAGCCGCCGCCCCCACCCCGCCGUCGAUCUCGCCCACGGCGGCCGCCCCCACCCCGCCGCCGUCCUCGCCCACGGCGGCCGCCCCACCCGGCCGCCGACCUCGCCCACGUCGGCCGCACCACCCCGCCGUUGACCUCAUCCCCGGCCGACGCCUUCCUCCACAUCCUUCUGACCCCAAGGCUGAGGUCGUUCCCGUCUAUCUCCCCUGUGUGUGCGCGUACAUCGUCGGCAAGCGUGAGGAGGGGUUGCCGCAGUUGCUUCUUCGCCUUCUCCCAUCUCACGUCCCCAUCGCCGGACGCCUCGCCACGUCUCUCACCUUGCCCCUCUCCAUGGUAAACUCCAGUCCUCCCCUCUCCCCUGCUCUUUUAAUUUCUUUUAUCCUUAAUGUUCUUCCUUUGAUAAAUCUAAGCCGUGAAUUUGCACAAAUCUCGCUAAAUUUCGUGCUCUUAUCUCUUCCAUCUCGGUGGUUUCUUCUGUAGGUGCAUCGCGGAACUAUUUCUGGAGGCCGUCGCCACCGCAUUAGUUGCCGGAUGGUCUUCCCCUGCUCCAUUGUAAGUAAAAAAAACAUGAUUUUUCUGUGGGGCUAUAUAGGUACCUCUGGCCGGAGCCGAUAUUGGGUCUUCUGUUUACCUCAGAGACGAGUUCCCAAGAAAUGCUCUUUGUUUAUUGCCUUUUUGCAUUCUUUUGCCGUGUAUGGAUUUAUUCAUUUUACAUGUUGCAAGAAAUGGCUUUGUUCUCUAUGCUAGCUCAAAGUUUAGAUGCUGCUGCUAGGUGUGCUAUUAGCAACCACAUUGGUUAAGUCACUGAAAACUGAAAAGAUUAAUGUCACUGUAAUUUUCAUCCUUGCUAGGUGCUUUAGGAUAUGCAGUGUAUGUAUGUGAAGAUGUACUCUUCUUUUUAGAUCACUGAUGCUACUUGCGCCGUACUAUUCGAUGCCCAAUUCAGAGUUACGUAACAGGCUUACUGCUUUCUCUUAGAGAGAGAAAAAAUGCUAUCAUUGGCUGCGGCCAUCACCACGCACAACGACGGCUGGCGUUCCUUUUUCUCUUGCCCCGCUCUUCGCUGGAUCCAACUCUCAAAGCAACAUGCUAAUUAAUGGCUAUUGCCGUUGGUCAUGAUUUUUUCUGCUGAUUUUUUCAUCUUCCUAUGGAUUUGUUUCUUCCUAUAAAUACUUCCCAUCCCAGUGCCAGUGCUGGUAGAUGCAGAUUUACAUCAAUUUGCAAUUAGCCAAAGCAAAAUCUAGGCUGAUGGUUCAAGGUCUCAAAAAAUUCAUGUAACUUUCAAAUCCUUUCCUCUUUGGCCCUUGUACUGUGGUCUAUUCUUGGUUUUCCAGUGAAUCACUCUUCUUUUUUUACAUGUACAAUGUGUGCUUGUGCAGGCGCUGCUUUCAGGAGACAAUGAGUCCGGAACAGAUGAGUGAGGAUCAUAACUGGAUGGUUUCAUAGUUGGAUUUCUACCAGUCCAACAGAUUCAUGUCAUCUGGCUAUUUUUCUGUAAGUAUAUUUCCUAAUAAGCAUCUCUGAAUUGUCAAGUUGUGAAGAAAAAAAGGAUAUCACGUUGCUCGAGGCAUGAAACCUAGUGCCAGAUUAUAAAGUUUCAUAUAUACUUUUCUGGUUUUAUUCAUAUAUCAUAUGGUGUGUCCACAAAUGGCACCACUGCAUGAGAUGCAUUAAUUCUGAACAUGCAAGUCUAGGACAGUGCUGCUCCAGUGACAAUAUAUGUGUCACAAUGAGCUGAGUUUCCAACAUAUCUAGUCAGCAGUUGGAUGAGUACUAUUUUCUCCUUAGUGGCUGCUGCCAGGUAGUGUGUUUCUUAUGUGGCUUUGUGCUGGCUGGCUAUAAUUAUGUAGGUGAUGCUGCUGAUCAUGAACCUAGGUAACACAGAAAUUGUGUAUUUAGUCGCCAUUUCUCUGUGCAAUGUGAUGGAUGAGAAUAAGAGUGGUGCCAUGUAUAUGUAGAACUAUUGUUGCUUUUGAGGAAAAGCCCAAGAAGCAAAUUAGGCUAUGACUCAAAUAAUCAUCACCAACUUUGUCACGCAAAGCAUUCUUCACAAUAGUCAUAGCUGGAAAACAUGUCUCAACAUUGGCAGUGGCAACUUGGAGAGUCAGUGCUAGCUUCAAAAGCCGAUAUACCAAAGGGUAGGAGAGAUGCUUCCUUGUAUCCACCAUCAGUUUAGCAAUCACCUAUUUUGUCCAAGCUAGAAAACCUUCUAUCAUGGGUUACAUCAUUUAUGUAGAUACUAAGUUCAUGUUCAAGAGUAACAUAUCUCUGUGACUAAAAUCAUCAGGAUAAAGCUUAGCUAAUUCCAACAACUUCUUGUCAAAAAAACAAAAUAAAUCACCUUUGCUCAAAGCAGACCCGUUGGUGGCGGCAGCCCCUGGGUUGUGGUGUUGCCAUCUCUUUAUUUCCUUGUCAAAUAUUGCUUCUUCAUUAAUUUUGUACAUAAUUUUGUAGGGGAAGAUGAUUCGUCUAUGUUAUCUUCAAGGACGACGCUAUGGAUGAUCACAUUGGCAAUGGCAUCACUCGAGUUUGCAACAUGACUGAGAACAUGAUGAUAACAACUAUGCAUCCGGAGGAGGAUCUCACUAGUCCGUUUGCACUUCAACUAAUGAGCGACAAUCGUAUGGUAUUUUGUUGCAGCAACUGUUAUAUGGAAUAUGAUGGAUGAGAAAUAGUAAAAUGAUGCGUAUGUAUGUGAUGCUGCUGAUCAUGAAUCUAGGUGACUUAGAAGUGUGUGUGUGUGUGUGUGUGUGUUUUGUUUCAUUGCCCUGUGCAAUGCGAUGGAUCAGAAUCAGAGUGGUUUCAUGUAUGCGUAGAAAUGUUUUUGCUUUUGAGCAAGUCCAUGUACAAAUUCUCGUAUGUCAAUUGCUGGAUGUUGAAACAUAGUUUAAUAUAUCGGUAUGUACGUAAACACUGAUUUUGGACGGCUUUCCUAAUAUAUGGGCUAUUGGAUGUAUGCUUAUUUAUCACUGAAUAUUUAUUGACAGGUUAUAGAACUAUCAAUUAG